rnacentral:tRNA from 1 species
GUGGGUAUAGCUCAAUUGGUUAGAGCACUUGGCUGUGGCCCAAGUUGUUGCCGGUUCAAGUCCGGUUACCCACC